CCUACGGGAGGCAGCAGUGAGGAAUAUUGGUCAAUGGGCUUACGCCUGAACCAGCCAAGUCGCGUGAGGGAAGACUGCCCUAUGGGUUGUAAACCUCUUUUGUCAGGGAGCAACGCCGGCUACGUGUAGCCGGAUCGAGAGUACCUGAAGAAAAAGCAUCGGCUAACUCCGUGCCAGCAGCCGCGGUAAUACGGAGGAUGCGAGCGUUAUCCGGAUUUAUUGGGUUUAAAGGGUGCGUAGGCGGAAUGCCAAGUCAGCGGUAAAAUCGCGGGGCUCAACCUCGCUCCGCCGUUGAAACUGGCGUUCUUGAGUGGGCGAGAAGUAUGCGGAAUGCGUGGUGUAGCGGUGAAAUGCAUAGAGAGCAUACAGAACACCGAUUGCGAAGGCAGCAUACCAAACUAUAUCUGACGUUGAGGCACGAAAGCGUGGGUAGCAAACAGGAUUAGAUACCCUUGUAGUC
rnacentral:rRNA from 1 species